AACGAACGCUGGCGGCGUGCCUAACACAUGCAAGUCGUGCGAGAAAGUUCCUUCGGGAGCGAGUAAAGCGGCGCACGGGUGAGUAACACGUAGGUAACCUGCCCCCCAGUCUGGAACAACUAGAGGAAACUCUAGCUAAUACCGGAUGAGACCACGAUCCCUUCGGGGGUUGCGGCCAAAGAUGGCCUCUACUUGUAAGCUAUCGCUGAGGGAUGGGCCUGCGGGCCAUUAGCUUGUUGGUGAGGUAACGGCUCACCAAGGCUGUGAUGGCUAGCUGGUCUGAGAGGAUGACCAGCCACACUGGACUGAGACACGGCCCAGACUCCUACGGGAGGCAGCAGUGGGGAAUAUUGCGCAAUGGGCGAAAGCCUGACGCAGCGACGCCGCGUGGGUGAUGAAGGCCUUC
rnacentral:rRNA from 1 species